rnacentral:rRNA from 1 species
UUUUAUGGAGAGUUUGAUCCUGGCUCAGGAUGAACGCUGGCGGCGUGCCUAAUACAUGCAAGUCGAGCGAACGGACGAGAAGCUUGCUUCUCUGAUGUUAGCGGCGGACGGGUGAGUAACACGUGGAUAACCUACCUAUAAGACUGGGAUAACUUCGGGAAACCGGAGCUAAUACCGGAUAAUAUUUUGAACCGCAUGGUUCAAAAGUGAAAGACGGUCUUGCUGUCACUUAUAGAUGGAUCCGCGCUGCAUUAGCUAGUUGGUAAGGUAACGGCUUACCAAGGCAACGAUGCAUAGCCGACCUGAGAGGGUGAUCGGCCACACUGGAACUGAGACACGGUCCAGACUCCUACGGGAGGCAGCAGUAGGGAAUCUUCCGCAAUGGGCGAAAGCCUGACGGAGCAACGCCGCGUGAGUGAUGAAGGUCUUCGGAUCGUAAAACUCUGUUAUUAGGGAAGAACAUAUGUGUAAGUAACUGUGCACAUCUUGACGGUACCUAAUCAGAAAGCCACGGCUAACUACGUGCCAGCAGCCGCGGUAAUACGUAGGUGGCAAGCGUUAUCCGGAAUUAUUGGGCGUAAAGCGCGCGUAGGCGGUUUUUUAAGUCUGAUGUGAAAGCCCACGGCUCAACCGUGGAGGGUCAUUGGAAACUGGAAAACUUGAGUGCAGAAGAGGAAAGUGGAAUUCCAUGUGUAGCGGUGAAAUGCGCAGAGAUAUGGAGGAACACCAGUGGCGAAGGCGACUUUCUGGUCUGUAACUGACGCUGAUGUGCGAAAGCGUGGGGAUCAAACAGGAUUAGAUACCCUGGUAGUCCACGCCGUAAACGAUGAGUGCUAAGUGUUAGGGGGUUUCCGCCCCUUAGUGCUGCAGCUAACGCAUUAAGCACUCCGCCUGGGGAGUACGACCGCAAGGUUGAAACUCAAAGGAAUUGACGGGGACCCGCACAAGCGGUGGAGCAUGUGGUUUAAUUCGAAGCAACGCGAAGAACCUUACCAAAUCUUGACAUCCUUUGACAACUCUAGAGAUAGAGCCUUCCCCUUCGGGGGACAAAGUGACAGGUGGUGCAUGGUUGUCGUCAGCUCGUGUCGUGAGAUGUUGGGUUAAGUCCCGCAACGAGCGCAACCCUUAAGCUUAGUUGCCAUCAUUAAGUUGGGCACUCUAAGUUGACUGCCGGUGACAAACCGGAGGAAGGUGGGGAUGACGUCAAAUCAUCAUGCCCCUUAUGAUUUGGGCUACACACGUGCUACAAUGGACAAUACAAAGGGCAGCGAAACCGCGAGGUCAAGCAAAUCCCAUA